UGCUGCCCAGCCAUGUGCAAAUAAAAAGCUCCUGCGCUGAAGGAGUUUUCUCACAGUCACAAUGUGCAAAAAGCCUGUGUGGAUGCCCCAUCAAGUAACUAGCCUUUCAGGAGAUUUAAGGGUUUGCCAUUUAGAUAACCCUUUCCCUAGGUUGUCUCUUGGUGGAUGUUUGCAGUUAAAAUGACCCCAGAUCCAGCAUGGUGGUCGUGUUCCCAGCCCUGUGACAUCAGCAAUUUCAGAAGUCAAGCCUGAAGGCUACACAAACCCCAUCAGAGAGAGGAUGAGCCUCUGAGGUGAGCGAGAAGCUUCAGUGUAACAAGCACUAGGGGAACGACACACUGGAAAGCAGCAGCGUCAGCAAAGAGACAAGGUGACAGAUGUGAACUGGAGGAAGGCUGAUCCCUCAGGCUCACUCAGCACGCUGGGAUCAUCCCUGCAGGCCCACUGCUGUCGCUGAGAAACGCUGAGAGUAGAGCUGUCAACUAGGAAGAGGAGUGGGGGAAAAAAUCCCUGUUGGAAUCAAUGUUGAAUCGCAGAGGUUGCUGUGCAAACUGGGAUGGAAAACCUAUGGCUCCGGGGAGCCAUCACUGAGAACUGAGAGGUGGAAUGCCUUGGGGCAGGAAAGGAAUGUUCCAGGGGCCAGAGCAAAGCCUACAAGAAUGACAACCUGAGGAUAACCAUGAGAGCCAGGAACAGGCCAUCAAACACAGCUUUAGAGGUCAUAUUCCUUUUGGCACCAGAAAGAAUAAUGGCCAUAAGUGAUUUGCUUUGCAUUUAUGGCUUUUACCUUGCAUGCAACUCGUAUCACUUACAAACUCCCACAGAGUCUCUGCCACCCCGAGAUGUUGUUACAAACCACGCACAAGCAGAAGUCUGAACGAUGAGGGCAGGUACUUUUAAGGCCUUCCAGUUUCCCUAUUUUUCCUUAUUUCUCUCCUACUGCCCCUGCCUGUCUGCAGAGCCCUGGAAACGCGAUAGCCCAGGCUCCACCCUGCUGGUGGAAAGUUCAUGGAAACCAUCAAUCAGAACCAGUUGCCUUUAGCAACCAACAACAAAUCUGCCCGAGUUCACCGCGGGGAUGGACAGUGCGUGGUUGUCGCUGUGCUGAUGUUCAGCUGAGGAUUCCUGGCAUCAGGAAAACUUAACCUGUAGAAGCUUUCAGAGAGAAACUGUCUGAAAGCUACAGGAACACCUGAAGUCAGAGGAACUGCUACCUACCAGAACAGGUUCUACUACCUGGGUGUCUGGUCUAUCAUUUGGUAGGUCUGGGCACCAAUAUCCUUCCUGAACACAGGAGGUGCUGCAAAGGCAAAAGUGGAAGAGCCUAAAAUAAAAUACACUGUUUUGCAUUCUUUGGACUUCCUGGUGAUAGGGUGGUGAAUUUUUAUGUUUUUAUUUAGAUUUACUAUGAAGCGAAUGUAUGCAGUAAAUUUCCCAACAGAUAUAGGGAGAAAUAUCAAACAAUAUUAUUCUUAAUUAGCAAUACAUGAACAUUAUGAGGACUUCAUCAAGCUCAAACUCUCAUUCUGCUGGGCUAGGUAAGAAGGCACUCCUUGCUUUGAAGAGUUUAAAACUUCAUGACCAGAGUAAUGAAAAUCAGGGACUUCUUUUCACAGAUCGAUAAAUUAGACCUGCCAAAGUCCUGUGUCCUUCUGCACAAGAUUAGUCCUUUUUCCAGACUUUCUUUUAAUAAUAAUAAGACAAAUUUUGCUCAUUAGCAGAGUUGUAUACAUGACCUUUUCUUUGGCAUGUGUGUUCCUUAAUGCGCCAAUUAAAAUAAUUCAGUUACCUUUGGCCCUCUCAUUUUAUUUGGAGACCUCAAAGUACAUCAGCAUACACGCAGUAAUAACUGAUAAGGGAAUAAAGUUAUAAACAAUCCUAAUUUGUAUUAUGCUGGGUACACCAAAAAGCUACUCUUCCCUAAUCCGCUUAUUGCUUUUGUAAUCCUCACACAAGACCUCUGGAAAUCUCCCCAGAGCAUAAAGAUAGAAAAGAAUCAAGUGGGGAAGGGAAAAGGGAAGGACGUUUAAUAAUUGAGGAAAAUCUUAUUUGAGCAAAGGCUAAUUUGUGAGCACACGAAGCUUCGUGUGGUUCCAUGUAAAGGCUCUAAAUAUGGCUGGAAGGGAGAAAAACAGUUGUGUCUAGCAGAUCUAGAUUAUAUAUCUAGCAAAACCUGAGACUAGG